rnacentral:ribozyme from 1 species
UGCCCAGCAACUCCUAUCCCUUCCUCCUCGUGGUACCGGCCGAAAACUGUCUGUUAAAACGAAAGAGUUCGUGGGAAGU